AUUGAACGCUGGCGGCAUGCCUUACACAUGCAAGUCGAACGGCAUCGCGGGAAAGCUUGCUUUCCUGGCGGCGAGUGGCGAACGGGUGAGUAACACAUCGGAACGUACCGGCUAGUGGGGGAUAACCCGUCGAAAGACGGGCUAAUACCGCAUACGCUCUUCGCAGGAAAGCAGGGGACCUUUUGGCCCUUCGCUAGCCUAACUGCCGAUGUCCGAUUAGCUAGUUGGGGGGGUAAAGGCCUACCAAGGCGACGAUCGGUAGCGGGUCUGAGAGGACGAUCCGCCACACUGGGACUGAGACACGGCCCAGACUCCUACGGGAGGCAGCAGUGGGGAAUCUUGGACAAUGGGGGCAACCCUGAUCCAGCAAUGCCGCGUGGGUGAAGAAGGCCUUCGGGUUGUAAAGCCCUUUCGGCAGGGAAGAAAUCGGCGGGGCGAAUAACCCUGCUGGAUGACGGUACCUGAAGAAGAAGCACCGGCUAACUACGUG
rnacentral:rRNA from 1 species